rnacentral:rRNA from 1 species
UNCAUGNAAUAAUGGAAUAGGACCUCGGUUCUAUUUUGUUGGUUUUCGGAANCCCCGAGGUAAUGAUUAAUAGGAACGGAUGGGGGCAUUCGUAUUGCGACGUUAGAGGUGAAAUUCUUGGAUCGUCGCAAGUCGGACAGAAGCGAAAGCAUUUGCCAAAAACGCUUUCAUUGAUCAAGAACGAAAGUUAGAGGUUCGAAGGCGGUCAGANNCCGCCCUAGUUCUAACCAUAAACGAUGCCAGCUAGCGAUCCGCCGACGUUCCUCCGAUGACUCGGCGGGCAGCUUCCGGGAAACCAAAGCUUUUGGGUUCCGGGGGAAGUAUGGUUGCAAAGCUGAAACUUAAAGGAAUUGACG